UACGAAGGGGGCUAGCGUUGCUCGGAAUCACUGGGCGUAAAGCGCACGUAGGCGGCUUUCUAAGUCAGGGGUGAAAUCCUGGAGCUCAACUCCAGAACUGCCUUUCAUACUGGCAAUCUAGAGUCCGGAAGAGGUAAGUGGAACUCCUAGUGUAGAGGUGGAAUUCGUAGAUAUUAGGAAGAACACCAGUGGCGAAGGCGGCUUACUGGUCCGGUACUGACGCUGAGGUGCGAAAGCGUGGGGAGCAAACAGG
rnacentral:rRNA from 1 species